AAGCUGAGCAGUAUAGCCUGAGAACUUUUCACCAGAAGAGAUCAAAGCAGGGGUGGAUGGCCAAAAGCAAUCUCAUGAGAGAGGUGGAAGUCUUCACAACAGACAAAAUGAGCACUGGACAGGUGGACAGAAAUAGGGACUGGCUGCCACAGCAAGGAAUGUCUCAGGGUAAAAGACACACACACACACACACACACACACACACACACAUUAACACAGAGAGAGGGAGAGAGAGGGGGGUUCCUUUCAGCUGUGAAAAUGAAGCCUGCUUCCCAUGAGCUGUAAUUCUGAACUCUCAGAGGAGUUUGAUUUUACCUCAUGCAAAGUCCCAGAAGCAAUGAUCAGAGAAGGACUGGAGCCAUGAUUGAAGGCUCAAAAGUUGUUGGCUUAGAUAUCCUUGGAGGCCCAAUUUUGCUGGUGGAGUUAUUCAGAGCUGCCUCCUCCUUCUUCGACUGCAUAGGCAAGGGGACCUAUGAUUGCCCUUGUUAUUGGCUUUUUCUGACUGCAUGCUUGGAGAAGAGCCUUCAUUCCCGGUAAAACUAUGCUCAGGACACUGGUGGAGGAAGUUGAUGGCAAAGACCUAAGAGAAAGUGUUGAGUACCAGUAUUGCAGCUCACAUAUCAUCCUUAAGUCCUUAGAGUGAGCUGAGGACCCAGCAAGCACUUGAGACAAAGGGAUUGGCAUGUUCACAUCCAAGGCCUGAGAGUAACAGCAAGUGAGAUCUGGAAGGGCAGUGUGAAGAGGUUGGUAAGAGCA
rnacentral:lncRNA from 1 species